rnacentral:ncRNA from 1 species
UAAUAAAGAGGGAAUGAAGUUCUCCCUUAGUUUUGCAACUAAAACCGCUUAUUUAGCUGAUGACUUCUACGACUUU